CGUGGGGGAUGACGGCCUUCGGGUUGUAAACUCCUUUCGUUAGGGACGAAGCCACACCUUUUUUUGGGUGUGGUGACGGUACCUUUGUUAAGAAGCACCGGCUAACUACGUGCCAGCAGCCGCGGUAAUACGUAGGGUGCGAGCGUUGUCCGGAAUUACUGGGCGUAAAGAGCUCGUAGGUGGUUUGUUGCGUCGUCUGUGAAAUUCCGGGGCUUAACUUCGGGGUGGCAGGCGAUACGGGCAUAACUAGAGUGCUGUAGGGGAGACUGGAAUUCCUGGUGUAGCGGUGGAAUGCGCAGAUAUCAGGAGGAACACCGAUGGCGAAGGCAGGUCUCUGGGCAGUAACUGACGCUGAGGAGCGAAAGCAUGGGGAGCGAACAGGAUUAGAUACCCUGGUAGUCCAUGCUGUAAACGGUGGGCGUUAGGUGUGGGGACCGGUUUGGUUUCUGUGCCGUAGCUAACGCAUUAAGCGCCCCGCCUGGGGAGUACGGCCGCAAGGCUAAAACUCAAAGGAAUUGACGGGGGCCCGCACAAG
rnacentral:rRNA from 1 species